rnacentral:snoRNA from 1 species
UUCAAUGAUGAAAUAAAACCUUUUCAUUUCUUUUUCUGGUACCUCUUAUGUCAGCGGUAGAUCCUUGUGGUCUAUCUCGAUGAUCUAACCGGACUUCUGAUC